rnacentral:ncRNA from 1 species
UCUGUGGAGAGUACUGGAACUUGUGAGUAGUAUUUAAGUAAACUUAAAUACGAAAGCAUACUCGAUGAAACAGAAA